AAGGGGGAUACCUAGUCAGUUGUACAACAGAAAGGGGGAUACCUAGUCAGUUGUACAACAGAAAGGGGGAUACCUAGUCAGUUGUACAACAGAAAGGUGGAUACCUAGUCAGUUGUACAACAGAAAGGGAAAGGGGGGUACCUAGUCAGUUGUACAACAGAAAGGGCGAUACCUAGUCAGUUAUACAACUGAAUGCAUUCAACUGAAAUGUGUCUUCCACAUUUAACCCCUCUGAAUCAGAGAGGUGCAGGGGGCUGACAUAAUUAACGACAGAUUUUUUUUUUUUACCAUUCGGUUACUGGCCCAACCCUCCUACCCGCCAGUGCUUGGUUUGUAAUGAAUAUUAUUAAUCACUUUGAUAAGGUCUGUUGAUUAUAAAAAUGUUUUUGGGGUAACAUAUACUGUUCUCAGAGAGAUUCAACUGCUCAUCUAUACCCAGAGAAUCAGAGUGAUGUCGUUAGGCUGUGAUUUAUCUAUACCCAGAGAAUCAGAGUGAUGUCGUUAGUUUAUGACUCAUCUAUACCCAGAGAUUCAGAGUGAUGUCAUUAGGUUAUGACUCAUCUAUACCCAGAGAAUCAGAGUGAUGUCGUUAGGUUGUGACUCAUCUAUACCCAGAGAUUCAGAGUGAUGUUGUUAGGUUAUGACUCAUCUUUACCGUUAAUCAGAGUGAUGUCAUUAGGUUGACUCAUCUAUACCCAGAGAAUCAGAGUGAUGUCAUUAGGUUGUGACUCAUCAAUACCCAGAGAAUCAGAGUGAUGUCAUUAGGUUCUGACUCAUCUAUACCCAGAGAAUCAGAGUGAUGUCGUUAGGUUCUGACUCAUCUAUACCCAGAGAAUCAGAGUGAUGUCGUUAGGUUCUGACUCAUCUAUACCCAGAGAAUCAGAGUGAUGUCGUUAGGUUGUGACUCAUCUAUACCCAGAGAAUCAGAGUGAUGUCGUUAGGUUGUGACUCAUCUAUACCCAGAGAAUCAGAGUGAUGUCGUUAGGUUGUGACUCAUCUAUACCCAGAGAAUCAGAGUGAUGUCGUUAGGUUGUGACUCAGCUGUCAUGCUAUGUUUAUUGUACUGCUGGGCUUCUGUCAUCUGACUGUUUUCUAUGGGGAUUAAGGUCUGUUUAAUAAGUAUACUGAAUUAUGACUUAAGAGGUCAAAAGUCAAUUAUACAAUUAUACAUUUUGUUAAAGUUUAACUAUCAGACUGUAAUAUAAUACAGUGUGUGUGUUUUAUAGUCAGAUUAUGACAUGUGUAUCUGAGAGAGGAGCUGUGAGAUCUGUGUUUAUCUCUCCUGUUCUGGGCAUAUGAUUUUCUCUCAAUCACUUUUGUCUGUUAUUUGAAUGACCUUUCUGUUGAGGACAUUUUAUAUAAUCCUCUGAUUAUAUAUUAUCAGCUGUUAAGAUAUUGUUUAUUAUAUUGGUUUUUAUCUAUUGAAUCAAUAUAUGGGCAGCCUACUCUGUAUUUCCUAUGCUAAUCACUAUCAAAUGUGACCUGUUCUGAUUUGAAUAACAGUCAGGCAUUACAUAACAUGCAUCAUUUACUAUAACUACAGUAUGUAGUGUAAUGUAUGAGUCUAAUGUAUAUGCUGUUAGCCCAGUUACAAUGUGACAUGUAAAAACAAAUACAACUUUAAGUAUUAAAUGUCAAUAUUAUUUGUUAAUCUCUGUUUCAGAUUAACAUGAUUUGAAUGAAACACAUUUUUCCUCUCGUCAAUAAUAGGAGGACGUCUGAGCAAUAAAGAUUAAGAAUCAAAGAGAAAGAGAAGUGUAACUUUAUUUAAAUUCUCAUUUUAUUGGUAACACCUUAACACAUUUCCUUAAGUUAGAGAAACACAUGUAGCAUGUUGAAGUACGGAUCAAUAACCAGAAGAAUUAGAGAAAUCUAGGAUAAAUAUAUUCUACAGAAGAAACCCAAACUGAUACAAAGAGAACAAGUCAGGGAAAAUAUGUAGAGUCAACUGUAGAGAAAUGAUUGAAUAAGGUUUUUAAACAGAGAGACCAGGAAAAUAGUUAAAUAAAUACUACAGAGAUAUACUAACUCAGUGUUGUCAGUGGAAGGGGUCUAGUCACUGGACGGAUGGAGGGAGGGAGGGGGGGGUAGAGGAGUAUUAUAAAGACCACAACACUUCCUCUCUCUACCUCUGCAGUCCAUACUAACACAUAUUUAUAUUACAUCAUAUUUAUCAACUGAUUAGUACACUGGUAGAAGCUUGAAGUCGCUUAAAAAGUUGGACAUCACCUACUAAUAUAAUCGCCUACUGAUGUAGAAUGUGCACUUUGUAUUUAGAAGUUUGAACAUUUCUAGUGUGUUCUUCCCUCUGAAGUCUAUUAGAGCUGAUUGCUAACAGUUUGCUUAAAGGGUUAGUAACUCCAGCAGCCACAGUGAUUUACAACCUGAGACUAAUCUGACCCCAGAUCAGCUAGUUGUGCUUUUAUUACACGUGAGAGUGACCUCUAGUGGCUUAACAAUGGAACAUUCUUUAUGCCUCCUGGUGAGACAGUAUGGAGUAAUGUUCCUCUCAAAAUAGGUUGAGUCAUAACGUCCACUUAGUCUCCCACUGACAUCGAUGCCUGAUGCACUUUCUCCUCUGUAGAAAAGUAAGCCAUAUUUAACAUUCAGACCCAUAUAAAAGCAUGCUAUAGAAUCUUCAUUACAUGUUCAUCAUCACCAUCACCUUCACCAUCAUCUAAAUCGUCAUCAUCUUCAUCAUCAUCAUCACCACCGUCAUCAUAGCCUUAUCAUAUUCAUCUAUCUUUGAUAUCUAUCAUCUCGAGACAAUAGUUGUAUGGUUUUUAAAAGCUAAGGUGAACAGAUAGAGGUUUAGUAUUCCAACAUUCAGUAGAAAAUUAGAAAGAGAAGAAGAGAAAGGACAAACACCUAAACUAGUGUCGUCAUGCAAAGAAACGCCAGCUAAGAUACUAGUUAAUAGUGGUUGUGUAAUACUGUAUACUCCCCCCUAAGAUACUAGUUAAUAGUGGUUGUGUAAUACUGUAUACUCCCCCCUAAGAUACUAGUUAAUAGUGGUUGUGUAAUACUGUAUACUCCCCCCUAAGAUACUAGUUAAUAGUGGUUGUGUAAU
ensembl:lncRNA